UGCGUAGGCGGCUGAUUAAGUCGGAUGUGAAAUCCCCGAGCUUAACUUGGGAAUUGCAUUCGAUACUGGGAAGCUAGAGUAUGGGAGAGGAUGGUAGAAUUCCAGGUGUAGCGGUGAAAUGCGUAGAGAUCUGGAGGAAUACCGAUGGCGAAGGCAGCCAUCUGGCCUAAUACUGACGCUGAGGUACGAAAGCAGUGGGAGCAAACA
rnacentral:rRNA from 1 species